rnacentral:rRNA from 1 species
GACGAACGCUGGCGGCGUGCUUAACACAUGCAAGUCGAACGGAAAGGCUCCAGCUUGCUGGAGUACUCGAGUGGCGAACGGGUGAGUAAUACGUGAGUAACCUGCCCUUGACUCUGGGAUAAGCCUGGGAAACUGGGUCUAAUACUGGAUACGACAUGCCACUGCAUGGUGGUGUGUGGAAAGGGUUUUACUGGUUUUGGAUGGGCUCACGGCCUAUCAGCUUGUUGGUGGGGUAAUGGCCUACCAAGGCGACGACGGGUAGCCGGCCUGAGAGGGUGACCGGCCACACUGGGACUGAGACACGGCCCAGACUCCUACGGGAGGCAGCAGUGGGGAAUAUUGCACAAUGGGCGGAAGCCUGAUGCAGCGACGCCGCGUGAGGGAUGACGGCCUUCGGGUUGUAAACCUCUUUCAGCACGGAAGAAGCGAGAGUGACGGUACGUGCAGAAGAAGCGCCGGCUAACUACGUG